CAUGGGCAGGAUGUUUAUACAGCAAAAUGUAAACAUUUUCCCUGGCCUUCUUUAAAUAAAAAAUCAAGCAAAAAGCCCCGCUAGAUCAGCUCAUACUCAAUCUGAUGCAUUAUGUCCGUUUUAGACAGCUCCUUUUGUAUGGAUAGGACUUUUCAACGUAAAUGCAAAAAGGGGAUUUCAAUCAUGUAUAAUUAUGUUCACACAGGAGAACAGAGGGGAAGAGCGCCCUGAGCCUAGCCGAACACUGAGCACUGAAACUCGGAUGAGGACUUCAGAUCGACGCCCACCAAACUCUCUCCCCUCAGAAUGGUGCUCGAAUCAAGCCCUCUGUGUUGGAUGAGGGAGAGAAGGUUUUCCAGUGAUGACAACAGUUCCUAUGACAACCAGACCUCCACCGGGGGAUUGCGUCUGUCAGACAGUGCUAAUGAUAAUUGAGAGCCUCACACACAACACAGGGCCGGUGGAGGGCAGUUUUUCACAGAUGUAAGGGAAUACAUCAACAGGGAGAACCCAACUAGAAGAAACCGUCAGAGUAGAACACAACAGAGAGAGGGAGGGAGAGUCCGGCCACAGCCAGCUCUGAUACAGGGGGAUUUUCCUGUGGCGAGCCGCUUCGGAAAAAGCAAUUAAGAAUUCCCAAACAGUGCAAAACAAUGGGAGACGUCGUUCUGCAAUGCAAGUUCCGAAUCCAAGCUGGAGUGGGCAAGCGUGCGGGUUUGGCCACAGGAAGCCGUGAAUUCUUCGGAGAACAGAGGGUGUCAGGGCCCAGAACAUGACUCGGGGGGGGGAUACUGUACCUUGUAAUGUCUCAUAAUCCUCCUAGUUGACCCCUGACCCCAGCCUGUGUUUGUAUCAGGCCAUCGACGUGAGAAAUCGUGAUGAGUCGCUCCGGCGGUGUGUUUACCUUCUGGAGUCACGCAAGGAAGGAAAUAAGGCACGGUCUGCUAAAAGUGGCGAAGUGAGAGAGAAUAGCAGCAGUAUUAGAGCAGAGCCGUGAUUCAUCUCACUGUGACUGGCCUCUUGUACCGUUGCACUUGGUUUAUUUAACCUAUUCACUACUGUAGGGACACUAGCUACAGAUCAGCCAAAACAGGGAGUAAGUCUAAAAUAUAUUGUACUGUAUAAAAAUAUAAUGUAUGAGAUUAAUAUUGUCAUUCUGUGAUUAAAGUCUGAUUGAUACUCCGUCAUUGAGUGAAAUGAUCCGUGUACUGCAGUAUGUGGAUACAGCUUGUUUUGGCUUUCACGGCGUAAUAGACCGAACAUGUAUUAUUUUUAUGUAAUAAUUUUCUGCUGAGUGUGUUACAAUCAUUCUAGUUUUUUUGCUAUGCCCAUUGAAAUGAAAUGAGGAAAGAUUUAGUCAUUUCCUUUCUCUGGCUCAUGCAACAAUUAUAAAUGAUAUGUGUAUGUGAUGUUUCUGUGUAAUAAUCAUUUAUUGUAAUACAUUUCUGACUCUCCCAGAUCCAGAUUAUAUCUGGAAGAUCCCUUGUAAGAUGCUUUAGAGGAGAAAUCUCUGCACUCCCAAAUACAUCAUUUUAAUCUUGAACUUGCAUUGAGCUCUUAAAACUGUUGAAACUGGAAUGAGUAUGCAACCGUGGCUAACGCCUGUGAUUAAAAUACAAUGUCCUGGCCUGCCAUCACGCUGUAGCCUUCCACACCGUGGGCUUGUGUGAUUGCACAAUUGUUGUUUUUGAGCAAGUGUCCUUGUUAGUUUUACUCUGUAAAUAAAUAAAUGCACCGAGUUGACAAUUCA